ensembl:snRNA U1 U1 spliceosomal RNA
UAAUCUGCCUGGCAGGGGAGAUACCAUGAUCACUAAGGUGGUUUCCACACCGCGAGGCUUACUCAUUGCACUCUGGAUGUGCUGACCCCUGCAGUUUUCCCAAAUGUGGGAAACUUGACCACAUAAUUCGUCGUUGUGGGGAUCUGUGUUCACGCUUUCCCCUG